AAAAACCAAAAAAAAAGAGAGAAUGUAGAGUGCUUUGCAAACAUGAAAGCACUAUGGAAAUGCUAGCUAUUCUUAAGAAAAGAUGCAGAAAUGACACUUCAACAAAAACAAACUUCCCAUCAACCAUAUUGGACUGUGUAUCCUAUAUUCUGUACCUAUAGGUAUUGUCACAACUAUUCCUCAGGACCUAGAUCCUUAGUCCUUGUCAUUACAUUCUUUUCACCUUACUUUUUAUUGCUUUCCAUUGAUAUUUCUGGAGUCGCUAUAUACACCCUUGUCCUUUUCUUCUGAGCAUGUCUUUGCAUCCAUUUGUUUCAGUCCUCCCAUGCCACCCUUCAUCGCUCUAAGCAUCCUUUCUCAUAUUGUAAAAGUCAUGCAUUUCAUUCACGUGCCAUAAUCUAUUGAGACACUCCCCAAUCAAUGCCCUUCCCAGGUACUCCUUGACACCUGGCCACUGGAUUAAAAAUAGAGUCCCUCCAGAGUCCAUGGCCUCAUUCCUUUUGGAGAUCAUUGAUUCCCCAUUGGAACUGGCCCUGAGGCAGAGCUGCCCUGGCUGAUGUUUGGAGGGUGAGUAAAUCAAAAAGCCUCACCCCUCCUGAUACAGCCACAACCCAGACUCUGACCCAUCCAGUCCUUGGGGCCUACUUCUGAACAUCAGGCUAGAACCUAGGAUUCUCCUGCUAUCCUGCUACUUCAGCUCCUUCUCCUUGAUACCAGGCCACUGGACCAAAAGUAGAGACCCUCCAGAGGCUGACUGCUUCCCAUGUGUAAAGAAUUCAUAAUCAUUUGGAGCUGGCUCUGAGGCAGAGCUGCCUUGGCUGGUGUUUGGAGGGUGAGUAAAUCAAGCAAGCCUCACGCCUCCCAAUACAUCCAGGACCCAGACUCUGACCCAUCCAGUUUCCAAGACCUACUUCUGAACAUGAAGAUAGACCCGGGGAAUCUCCCUUUACCUCUCUUCCUCACACCUCCCCCCAACUUCUUGACAUCAGGCCACUGGACCAAAAGUAGGGACCCUAGAGUCUAUGGUCCCCUCCCAUGUGUAAUGGAUUCAGAACCGUUUGGAGCUGGCCCUGGGGCAGAGCUGCCCUGGCUGAUGUUUGGAGGGUGAGUAAAAUAAGCAAGCCUCACCCCUCUGUAGCACAGCAGGCAACAGACUCAAACCCAUCCAGUCUCUCAACCCUCCCUCUGACACACAGGCAAGGACCAGGCCACUGCUACCCACCCUGCCAACAGACCUGCCUCUUGAAUCCAGGACAUCAGACCAGGACCAGAGAGACUCCUUCUCCCAACCCAGAAUGAGAUAGGCUAUUUCUCGCUGGAACUGGCUCUGGGGAAGAGCUGACCUGGCUGAUGUUUGGAGGGUGAGUAAAUCAAGCAAGCCUCACCCUUCCAGAAGCAGCCAGGACCCAGACUCUGACCCAUCCAGGCUCUCAACAACCACCUGCCUAGGUCCUAGAACUUGUCGUCUUUUUUUUACACUGUCCACCCCUGCUUCUUUCCAUUGCUUCAUCUUUACAAUUUUCAUCAUAGCUUUUGUGUUUACAUCACCUUCAUUUCCAAAUAUGCCCAUCCCCAUCAUUUCCAAAGUAAGCCAUCCACUAGGAUAAAGAAUUAGAAAAGAAAUGGAGUUGAAAAACAAUUCAGCAAAUAACCAACUAAUCCACUGAGUUAACCUGCAUGCAAUAUUAUAUACUCAUGGUACUUCAAUAUCUACAUAGAAAAGAUAGAGGUCACUUUUCUCAACUUGUCUUGAGAAACAAGAUCCUUUGUUAUUACAAUGACAAUGCACUCACUUUCACCAUUGACAUUGUGGUAAUCACUGAAUACAUUGUUCUCCUGGUUCUCCUUCCUUCCCUCUGCAGAAGUUCCUAAGAAGCUUCCCAUUCCUCCUCCCUAAAUCCUUCAAAUUCCUCUUGGUAUCUGUUGCUGUCAUCAUAUAAUCGAUUCCUCCAAUCAAUGUCCCACCCUCAUCAGUUUCUUGACAGCCUGCCACUGGAUGUGAAGGAGAGCUUUUCCAGAGUCCUUGGCCCCUCUAGGUGUAGGUAAUUGAUUGACCAUGGAAGCUAACCUGGGAUAGAGGUGCCUACACUGUAGUUUAGAGGGUGAGUAAAUCAAUGACAAACCUUAGCCCUCCAAAUCCAGCCAGGUCCCAGACUCUGACCCAUUCAGUCCCUGGACCCAACUUCUGAUAUAUAGGAUAUGACCAAGGUCUUUCCAUUUACCCUGAUGCCUUCUUGACAUCAGGACACUGGACUUAAGAGAAAGAGAGAGAGUCUCUCCAGAGUCAUACUCCAUCUCCCUUGUGGAGAUAGCUACAUCUUAAAUUAACUUGGCCCUGGGUCAAAGCUGCCUUGCCUGAGACUGCAGAGUAACUCAUUUAAUAACACAUCACUCCUCUACAACAAGACAGAGCCUAGACUCUACCCCAUGCUGUAAUGAGGCCCUCCUUCUGACCACCAACCUAGAACUUGGGACUUUCCAUUUACUUCUUGUCAUGAACCCUUUAGAACAUAAGUAGAAGUCUUAUGGAGUCCAUAACAACCUCCCUUCCCUUUCUCUCACCCCUCUGAGUUCUGUAUUAACUCACCUUUGGAAAGGGUCUAGGGGAAGAGCUGACCUGGCUGAUGUUUAGAGGGUGGAAGCCUCUCAUCUCUAGACCUAGCCCAGCUCAGACAUACUGAACUAGCAUUUAGCCUCUAUCUUUCUGUAACAGGACUGGAGACCUGCCAUUUUUCUGAAGGUCAUCCUUGAUUCUUUACCAUAUGGUCUUUUUUUUCCCUCAAAUAUGGAGAUCUUUUGUUUCUAUAUCACCAUCAAUGAAACAUAUGCCCUUCCUAGUCAUCCCCUGCCCAGAGAACCAUUUCUUAUUACAAAGAAUGGGAAAAUAAAUUCAGAAAAGGCACUGCUUCAAAACCAAAUGCCACAUCAUUUGAAUUUAAAUUUGAAUCUGUAUGCAAUAUUCCAUACAUAUAGUCUCACACAUUGCAAAGCAAGGAAGCAAGCACAUUUUCUCAACUAUCCUCUAGGACCUAGAUCCUUAGUUAUCAUCAUUAUAAUACCCUCACUUUCUCUUUUUGCUAUUUUUCAUUCACUUUUUUUGGAGAAAUUGCGUGCCGUUUUUCAUUGCUGACCACCUCUCUUCAUAACUUUCUGUCAAUCUUCCCCUACUUCCCCCCAUCAUUCCAGGGCAAAAUGACUUUACAUGACAGUAAUCAUGGGCUUCAUUCAUGUACCAUAAUAUGUCGAACCACUCUCCAAUUUAUGUCCCUGUCCACUACUUAACACCUGGUCAUUGGACCAAAACUGGACACCCUCCAGAGUCCAUGGCCUCACCCCUUUUGGAGAUCACUGAUUCCCCAUUGGAGCUGGCCCUGAGGCAGAGCUUCCAUGGCUGGUGUUUGGAGGGUGAGUAGAUCAAGCAAGCCUCAUCCCUCCUGAUACAGCCAGGACCCAGACUCUGACCCAUCCAGUCUCCAGGAGCUACUUCUGAACACGAAGAUAGAACCUGGGAUUCUCCCUUUACCUCAUUUCCUCACCCCCUGCUUCUUGACAUCAGGCCACUGGACCAAAAGUAGGGACCCUCUAGAGUCCAUGGUAAAUUCAUAACCAUUUGGAGCUGGCCCUGGGGCAGAGCUGCCCUGGCUGAUGUUUAGAGGGUGAGUAAAAUAAGCAAGCCUCACCCCUCUAUGACUCAGCAGGCAACAGACUCAAACCCAUCCAGUCUCUCAACCCACCCUCUGACACACAGGCUAGGGCCUGACCAUUGUUAUCCACCCAGCCAACAGACCUGCUACUUGAAUCCAGGACAACGGACCAGGACCAGAGACCCAUCACUUUCCCAACCCUCUCUCCUAACCCAGAAUGAAAUAGGCUACUGCUCGCUGAAACUGGCUCUGGGGAAGAGCUGCCAUGGCUGAUGUUUGGAGGGUGAGUAAAUCAAAUAAACCUCACCCUUCCAGAUCCAGCCAGGAGCCAGGCUCUGACCCAUCCAGGUUCUCAUCACUCUCUCUCACCACCUGGCUAGAAUUUGCACCUUUCUACAAUGCCCACCCAUGCUUCUUUCCAUGGCUUUAUCGUCACAAUGUCCUCACAGCUUUUUGUUUUUACAUCAUCCUCAUUUCCAAAGUAAGCCAUCCCUUAGUACAAAGAAUUAGUAAAGAAAUGGAGGAAGGCAGUUCAGUAAAACCAACCAACACAUCCACCAAGUCAGCCUGCAUGUGCAAUAUUUCACACUCAGACCAUCCACAUCUACACUCAAGCUUUAGCCUCUACCUUAGCUCAAUAUAUUAGGAUCAGAGACUUGUCAUUUUCCUGAAGGUCUCAUCUGUCUAUUUAUAUUACAUUUUUCACAAAUGUGGAAAUCUUUUGAUUGUAUACCACCAUCAUUGCCACAUAUAUCUUGCCCCAUUAUCCCCUACCCAGAGGGCCAAACUUUAUAACAUACAAAUGCAGAAAAGUACUUCUGGAAGCCAAACAACAUAUCAACUGAGUUUGAUUAUAUAUGACAUAUUUUACACCCAUAGUCCCUCACCUUUGCAGAGCAUGGAAGGUACAUUUUUUUCAACUUUUCUUUAGGACCAAGAUUCUUGGUCAUUAUCAAUAUGCCUUCACUUUCCCUUUUUGUCACUUUCCAUUCACAUUUUUGCAGUCAUCAUUAAUAUUUUUUCCAAUUUUUUUCUGACUUUCCUUGGCAUCUGGUUCAUCUUAGUUUCCCCCUGCCUCCCUCUGUCCUUCUUUGGCAUUCUUUCUUACAUUACAUGAAUCAUCCUUCAUUCAUAUAUCAUAGUAUAUUGAGCCACAGCAAUGUGCCUUUUGCCUGCUUCUUGACACUGGACCAAAAUUAGAGACACUUUAUUUACAUGUCCCCUCUGGCUCUCCAUGGACACAAGAAAUUCCCCAUCAUAUAUGGCCUGAAGUAGGAUUUCCCUGACUGAAACUGGGAAGGGGAGUUCGUCAAGGAAGUCUCACCUCUCUAGAACUAGCCAAGCUCUGACCCAGCCAGUUUCUAACAUCUACAUCUGGGCAACAGCAUAAGAUCAGAUACUGAUCAUUUUGCCUACUUUUGACACAUUUUCCUAUUAUUGACCUUGCUUCUUUAUAUCGUAAUGUUAAAAAAAAUUAUAAUAUUUUUUGUUUUGACAUCACUUUCUUUUCCAAAUACAUGACUCUUCAUCCCCUUCCUGGAGAGCCACCCUUUAUUUGAUAGAAUGAAACAAGGAUUGCAUAAAAGGUACUUAAUUCAGUAUAACUAACCCACACAUAAGCUGUUUCUGACCUUUUAGGUAAUAUUUCACACCCAAAGUCCAGAUGCUCUAUUCCCAAAAGAAGCAGGUGCAUUUUUCUCAAUUCCUCUCCUGGAUAAAGAUCCUUGGUCAUCAUAAUUCUAAUACAUGCAUUUUUUAGUUUUUGUUGCUUUCUGUUGACAUUUUUGAAAUCGUUUUAUAUAUUUUUUCCUCUCUUCAUGACCACCCCUCUUUAUCAGUUGAUAACAGUCUUCCCAUGCCUCUCUCCAUCCUUCCUGGGCUUUCUUACAUCACAGGAAUCAUAGGCUUCAUUUCGGUGUACCACAGUAUGUCAAGGCAUCCUCCAUUCAACGUCCCCCUCACAUACUCUUUGAUACUUGGCCACUGGAUCAAAAAUAGAGCUGCUACAGGGUUCCUGGCCAAGUCACUUUUGGACAUCAUUGAUUUCCCAUUGGAGCUGGCCCUGAGGCAGAGCUGCCCUGGCUGAUGUUUGGAGGGUGAGUAAAUCAAACAAGCCUCACCCCUCCCAAUGCAGCCAGGACCUAGACUCUGACCCAUCCAGUCUCCAGGGCCUAUUUCUGACCAUCAGACUAAAACCUGGGACUCUCCCUUUGCUCUGAUUCCUCACUUCAUGUUUCCUGACACCAAGCCAUUGGACCGAAAAUGGAGACCCUUCAGAGUCCAUAGCCUCUCCCAUGUGUAGAAAAUUCAUAACCAUUUGGAGCUGGCCCUGGGGCAGAGCUGUCCUGGCUGAUGUUUGGAGGGUGAGUAUAAUAAGCAAGCCUCACCCCUCUAUAGCACAGCAGGCAACAGACUCAAACCCAUCCAGUCUCUCAACCCUCCCUCUGACACACAGGCAAGGACCAGGCCACUGCUACCCACCCUGCCAACAGAUCUGCCUCUUGAAUCCAGGACAACGGACCAGGACCAGAGGCCCCCUCUCCCAACCCAGAAUGAGAUAGGCUACUCCUCGCUGGAACUGGCUCUGGGGAAGAGCUGACCUGGCUGAUGUUUGGAGGUCUGUUCACCAUCAGGUAUCAGAAUUUCUUCCCAGAUCACUUGACACCUUUUCCUUCCCACAACUUCUAACUGGAAGACUGGGCACAUCAGUGAGAAAAGCACCCUUCGAUCAUACUGGAAGAGUUCAUCCCAGAUCCUGUUGCCCAACAACAUUGCCAUCUGCCAUCUGACCAUCAGACGUGGAGAGCUGUACAUCAUACUACAAAAGAAACUCACCAUCCCCUUGGAACCAAAUGCCUCUCUUCUUGUCCUGUGCUGCUGCUCCCAUCUGUGACCAAGGAUAAAGAACCCCAGGUUGGCUAUGCCAGCCUGCCUCCAUGCCACCCAGAAAUUCCACUCCCAGAUUGUCUGCCAGACAAAGGCUCAAGCUGGAAUGUGUUUCUCAGAUUCCUGGACCACCCUGUCUCACCCUGAUUCCCCACCCCUGCCCCUGCACACCCUCAUCCAAGUGUUGGAUACCCAUGACCACUGCCCUUUAGUUUUUCUCCAUCUUCCAGGUCCUUCGCCAUCUAACUAAAGCUAUUUGUCAUCCUGAGGCUGAUGGCACCAUCCAACUGCUCCCCUUAAUUCCUGUUCCAAGGACUAUUUGUGAGCCCAGUGUGACUACACUACUGUUGUCCCAUAUAAAUAUCUCUGUUCUAUAGGCCACCCUAUGAUGCCCUUCCCUGUCAUGGCUUGUAGCUACGCAUAAAAUAAAGCAUUUUACUGAUGUACCCUAAAUUAUAA